rnacentral:rRNA from 1 species
GACGAACGCUGGCGGCGUGCUUAACACAUGCAAGUCGAGGGAGUGGCGGGGCAACUCGCCACGACCGGCGAACGGGUGCGUAACACGUGAGCGACCUACCCUGGUGUGGGGGAGUAGCCGGCCCAACGGACCGGGUAAGUACCGCAUGCGCUUGUGUGGCCACAUGGCCGGACAAGCAAAGUCUUCGGACGCGACUGGGAGGGGCUCGCGGCCUAUCAGCUUGUUGGCGGGGUAAUGGCCCACCAAGGCGACGACGGGUAGCUGUCUGAGAGGAUGGCCAGCCACA